AUGACACAAAAGUUCACACCAACGAAUGGCUCAUCAACAAUCAAGCCUCGUCCUCGUCUUCAUCUUCCUCUUCCUCCGAUUCAUCAUCCAAAGAGGAUUCUUUCUCCUCCUCUUCAUUGUCGCGCGCGGUGUUGGCAAGAUCUUCAUUGGGCCUCCACCUACCAAGGCAUUCAACAGGAGAUCAGUAACCUAAAGGAGAUGCUGGAACUCCCCUUCUCCCUGGAGAUUAUCAUCCUUGCUGCUUGGGCAAUCUGGAUCACAAGAAAUGGAUUCAUAUUCAACAAAAUAACACCCAGCCUUUACAGAUGCCGAAAGACUUUCAAAGAAGAGCUGAAAUGGCUAGUCCACAGAGCAACCAGAGAAGAAUAUGCAAACUUGGAGCAAUGGUCACAUAACUUCAAAUAA
rnacentral:rRNA from 1 species